AUCCGAGACCCAAAUGGAGAAAUGGAUGGGUGCUUGUGACUGCAUUAUAACCAAAGCUGGACUUGGAACAAUUGCGGAGGCCUUGAUAAGGGGCCUUCCAAUCAUGAAGCAAUGGCUAGGCAGUUGUAUUGCAGGCUCUGGUGUUGUGUUGGUGCAGUCGGUGUGUCUAAGGGCUAGAAAGGUUUUACUAAAACAAAAGUGUUGUUAGAUUUUUAAUUUUUUUUGGUGUUGAAGUUCUGUAAAACUGAUCUUAUGUAGUAACAAACAACAGAUCUUGUCUUUUUUUUAAGAAAUGAUGUAAAUGAUCUAUGUGAUAUCAUAAAACUUGAUUCA